CCGGAUGUAGCUGGCCUCAAUGGGGUGUAGGCAGAGACUUCAAGGUAGUGACUGACAUGCAUGGUGCUCAGCGCCAGGAAGUGCUAUCAACAACUGUAUCCUUUGACUGUAGGAGAGGCAAGCGGGAAUUACUAGCUGUUGCGGUGACAUGCGUGGAUAUUGCGAGGAACACCAGUGGCGAAGAUGGCUUGAUUGACGAUAACUGACGAUCAGUCGUGAACGCGUGGGGAGCAAACACGAUUAGAUACCUGGGUAGUCCACGACGUAAGCGACGAGUAGUAGGGGUGGGAGGACCGACCCCCUUCCGGGUUGCAGUUAACACAAUAAGUAUUCCACCCGGGGAGUACGACCGCAAGAUUGAAUAUCAAAGGAAUUGACGGGGGACGCACAAGCAGUGGAUUAUGUGGUUUAAUUCGACGCAACGCGAAGAACCUUACCAGGGUUUGACAUCCAGAGAGUAAAGUAGAGAUACGUUCGGUGGGAUUCCGGGAAAGUGGAGACUGGUGGGGCAUGGUUGUAAUCAGACCGCGUGGUGAGAUGUUGGGUUAGGUCCCGCACAGAGCGCAACCGUUUCUGUUAGUUGUUACGCAAGAGCACUCUAGCGAGACUGCCGUUGACAAAACGGAGGAAGGCGGGGACGACGUCAAAUCAUCAUGCCCUUUAUAUCGUGGGCUACACAGGUAAUACAACGGUUGUAAACAGAGGGAGGCAAUGGAGCGAUCUGGAGCAAAUCCCUAAAAGCCACCUCAGCCAGGAUUGCAGGUUGCAACUUGCAUGCAUGAAGCCGGAACAGCUAGUAAUCGCGGAUACAGC
rnacentral:rRNA from 1 species